AGCGUGCAGGUGCCCCUUUUACACUUACUGGGCAGCGUGCACUUGUAGUACGUUGGAAUAUAGAGAUUGUUAAGCCUGGCCAAGAAGGCUGGUGGCACCCUGGCUUGUAGCAGUAGUGCAGCCAGCAGGAGCUGGGGGGGGGAUAGCCCAUCCCUCCACGUCCUCCUCACAAACAACAGUCAGACUUGCUCCCUGGGCAGUGGUGGCUCGGGGUCACCAUCCCUGGGGGUGUUCAGAUCCAUAAGCUGUGGCAUUGAGGGCUGUGCUCAGUGGGUAUGGUGGGUUGGAUCUGGGGACCUCAGAUUCUGGGUCUUUUCCAGCCUUAAGGAUUGUAUGGCACAACCCCUGGAGCAGCAUGUGUGAUGGAAGCAGUGCAGUUGUAACCCUACAGCUUUGGGGAGGGGUUGGUGCAGAUCUUUCCAACCUGAGUGUAACUGACUAUCUGCAAGGUGGAGUGAGGAAAAGGGAUUUUCUCCACCCAGCACUGCCCACUUGCCUUUUAAAACAGGAAAGAAGAAACUGGCUCAUGGAGAAAUGAAAUGCCUCAUUACUUCCUCAUGGUACUUGAUGCUGUGCAGCACUCUGUAACCACUGUCUGCAGGAAACAGCAGCAUGCAUCUCAUGGGAUUGUUGACAGUUGCACUUUAAAACAUAUAUCUGAGAAGUGAAGCAUUAGUGCGUGCCAGCUGAAGAGCCUGGAAUUCCAAAGAGAAAAUGUCAGAGCACAGACUGACUCCCCAGAGCAGUCUCCCAUACCCCUGAGCAGCUAGGCAGUGGAUCAGCAGGGAAGCACAAAGGUAAAG
rnacentral:lncRNA from 1 species